rnacentral:rRNA from 1 species
CAAUCAGUCAAGAAUACCCGCUGAAUUUAAGCAUAUAACUAGGCGGAGGAAAAGAAACUAACAAGGAUUUCCCUAGUAACGGCGAGUGAAGCGGAAAAAGCUCAGACUGAAAAUCUUCGGAAUUGUAGUCUGGAGAAGGUAUUACAGCAAAUGUACCGAGUAAAGUCUCCUGGAACGGAGCGCCACUGAGGGUGACAGCCCCGUUUAUACUCGUGUCAUGAGCGUACGUAUGCCUUUCUACGAGUCGAGUUGUUUGGGAUUGCAGCUCUAAGUGGGUGGUAAAUUCCAUCUAAAGCUAAAUAUAUGUGGGAGACCGAUAGCGAACAAGUACCGUGAGGGAAAGAUGAAAAGAACUUUGAAAAGAGAGUUAAACAGUACCUGAAAUUGCUGAAAUGGAACCGAUGGGAGGCAGUGUUUCUGGCGGUUUUAAUCGUCGGUUA